GAUGAACGCUAGCGAUAGGCCUAACACAUGCAAGUCGAGGGGCAGCACAUGAGUAGCAAUACGAUGGUGGCGACCGGCGCACGGGUGAGUAACACGUAUGCAACCUACCUCUAACAGGGGGAUAACCCGUUGAAAGACGGACUAAUACCCCAUAAUACAGGGGCUCCGCAUGGAGAUAUUUGUUAAAGAUUUUAUCGGUUAGAGAUGGGCAUGCGUUCCAUUAGCUAGUUGGUGAGGUAACGGCUCACCAAGGCGACGAUGGAUAGGGGAACUGAGAGGUUUAUCCCCCACACUGGAACUGAGACACGGUCCAGACUCCUACGGGAGGCAGCAGUGAGGAAUAUUGGUCAAUGGAGGCAACUCUGAACCAGCCAAGUCGCGUGAAGGAUGAAGGUCUUAUGGAUUGUAAACUUCUUUUGCAGGGGAAUAAAUAGCGGUAACGUGUACCGUUUUGCAUGUACCCUGCGAAUAAGGAUCGGCUAACUCCGUGCCAGCAGCCGAC
rnacentral:rRNA from 1 species